GGAUUGUUUGAUAGAACUUCCAAUCUCACAUAAUGAAUAGAAAAGAUCACAUGAGCUCAUGUAAAUUGUUCAAAAUUUUCAAUGUUUCUAUUGAUAGCAAAAGGGAAUCUUUAGAUUUUUGCCUCCUAUAGUAACCAAAGUUUAUUUGAUGUAUAAAGGCAAGAACUAGAAAUGUAUAGCCCUCCUUUUCUGUUUCACCUUAAGUUUAGAUGUCAAGGGCCAAAUAGGAUAGUGCUGCAUCAUUCAUUGUUAUUAAUAUUCUGAUAUGGAUGUAAAAUCGGGAAGACAUU
rnacentral:misc_RNA from 1 species